CCUGUUUCUCCAUUCCGCCUACUAAAUUUAUCCUUGCUUGUACCUUUAAAGAAGUAGAACAGAGGCACUUGUCUCAGAAUUUGUUUUCCUAUAUACCAACAGGCACUUGUCUCAUAAUAGUUUAAGGUGUAUAGGGGAAACAAAUUCUUAGACAAUUGCCUAUGAAGGAGAAGAUGAUAUAUUCCGUCCUCUAUAUUUGAGAGAAAAAAAAAAUCUACAGAAACGUAUUGUAGCCGUCAUUAACAGGGCGAUUGACGGCGAGUGCAUGUUUCAUACUAUACGGUCAAUGCAGUUUGAGUGCAUCCGAAUAGCACAGUUGCAUUAUUAGCAAUAAUUUGAAACACUUGGAAAACGAGUCAGUUCGAACGAUACAGAAACAGCGGGAAAGUUUAAGUAUUCAACAUUCAAAUCAACACACAAGGAUGAGUCCACUGCUAGUUAUUCGUAUUAUUUGAUUUAGGCGUUUAGAACUUUGGCGACCCUACAGUUUUUAAAAAUGUCUAUAACAAGUACAAUAUGACGAGUGAGCGUUACAGACGAACGAUCACCUAAUCCGAUCCAGUCAAUUGAAAUCCUGAGCGCGCCAAGAAAUGGUCUUGUCCACGUUAUUAUGAAAAUGAUUCAUCUUUUGCAGACAAUUUUGUAAAAACGUAAAUUCAUUCUCCAAGAAUUUUGCAAACAACUGAAAUGUAUACACUGAGGCAUAAGAACUUUAAAUUUUUCUAUUCCAAUGAAAUGAUAUAAUUAGGGUCACCGAAAUCGCUUUUGGUCUUCGCUGUGUACGCACAUUUAAAACAUUUACAAAUCUGUUGUAAUGCAACUUUUUGAUUAAUUAUAUGUCAGGAAGUAUAAAUUCUACGUAUUUCCGGUUCCAUGCAUAUUUAUGUACAGUUCAAUAAGUUUGAAUGGGUAUAACAAAAUUCCCUACAGGUCCGAAAUACCCGGUAGUUCCCAAUUACAUAUUCAUUAAUUGUUGGGUGGCAAAUUUUAAAAAGUUUCUGUUAAUUCACAGUGUUUCUAGAUUCUUUGAGAUUAUGAAAUUGUCUUCCUGUACAGAGUGAAAUCUAGAAAACAAGGUUUUACCUCUAGAUGUCCUAUGAUUAAAUUGAUUAACUAUUUUGUGCGGUUGCUGUCUAUU
rnacentral:lncRNA from 1 species